CGGGAAGAGUGCAUUUAUUAAAACAAAACCAAGCGGCUUCGGCUGUUUCUGGUUGACUCAUAAUAACUGAGCUGAUCGCAUGGUCUUGCACCGGCGACGUGUCUUUCAAGUAUCUGCCGUAUCAACUUUCGAUGGGAUUGUAUCUGACUACCAUGGUGAUCACGCGUAACGGAAAAUAAGGGUUCGGCUCCGGAAAGUUCACCUGACAAAUCCCGAACACAUCUAAGGAAGGCAACAGGCGCGAAAAUUACCCACUCUCAGCACGAGGAGGUAGUGACCAAAAAUAACGAUACCGUUCUCUUUUGAGGCCGGUCAUCGGAAUGGGUACAAUUUAAACCCUUUAACGAGUAUCUAUGAGAGGGCAAGUCUGGUGCCAGCAGCCGCGGUAAUUCCAGCU
rnacentral:rRNA from 1 species